rnacentral:rRNA from 1 species
GCCAGACUCCUACGGGAGGCAGCAGUGGGGAAUAUUGGGCAAUGGGCGCAAGCCUGACCCAGCAACGCCGCGUGAAGGAAGAAGGCUUUCGGGUUGCAAACUUCUUUUGACAGGGAAGAGUAGAAGACGGUACCUGUCGAAUAAGCCACGGCUAACUACGUGCCAGCAGCCGCGGUAAUACGUAGGUGGCAAGCGUUGUCCGGAUUUACUGGGUGUAAAGGGCGUGUAGCCGGGUUGACAAGUCAGAUGUGAAAUCCUGCGGCUUAACCGCAGAACUGCAUUUGAAACUGUUGAUCUUGAGUACUGGAGAGGCAGGCGGAAUUCCUAGUGUAGCGGUGAAAUGCGUAGAUAUCAGGAGGAACACCGGCGGCGAAGGCGGUUUACUGGACUGUAACUGACGUUGAGGCUCGAAGGCGUGGGGAGCAAACAGGAUUAGAUACCCCUGUAGA